ensembl:lncRNA
UUUUAGGAAACUGCAUGGAACGAUAGCAGGUUUAAUUCUUCACACAGACAUCCGCUGAACAUGAUGUCUGUAUGUGUGUCAUUCAGAUCACCGUCACUCGUCACAUCACGCCCGUCACCAUCAGUCCAAACACACCGAUGGCCGGAGAAAUAAGACUGGGAAAAAGAAAAGGAGUAAAGAGCGACACACGAGUGAUGACCUCAGCGUGCAGGAUGGAGAGAAAGAGGAAGAAACACACACCGACAAACCCGAGAGCGAGACGCAGGACAGUGUGCAGUUCUUCCUGUACGAUGAAGAGGUUUUCAAUGCUGAUGGAGAAAACACGGCCGAGAACAAACACACGCCCGCAGGAACACACAACGACAGCGGCACUGCAGAUGUGGAGCUCACACACCCUGAGACUGAAACACACGAUGACAACGCUCUGACUGAUUCUUCUAAACACCAUGUUGUGACCAUCAACCCAAGCUCUGUGACGUUUCACCCCAGCACUUUGACCAGUCCGACCGGAAACAUGACGGGAAACGAGAGCACAAAAUACGAGAGGAUUCCUGCAGACGAGGCGGAGACACACGCACUUGGCUCAGCCAAUUGGAUGACAUUAAGAGUGAGUUUAUAUAACUCAUCGUAUCAAAC